AAUAUACUUAGUAUACAUUUCGUUGAACAUUUUCAGGUAAACCUGGUGAAGGUACCCAGUACGAUGACUUGUUCAAUAGACAAGCCGAUGUCCUUGCUGCCAAUACCAGUUCCGAAUAUGAAGCCUACCGAGUCGAAUCUCAGCAAACAAACCAGUACGAGACACUCGCGGAAACUUCGUUUCAUGAAUAUUCGGUAUUAUCACCUGGCGGCAAACAGGAUUAUAGUGUUACGAACCGUGUAACUCAAGGUACUGAAACUGAUUGUGCAAGUUUGAAUCAGCAAAACGCGUAUGUAAAUGUGUAAUAAUCAGAAACAUACAUAUCGUUUCAUUUGGUAACUAGAAUGAUCACAUCAACAAUAUUUAUAGCGCAAAUUAAACUAUUCACAAAGUGAAAGUUGUUUGAUUAGAAUGUUUAAUGAUUGUAAGUAUGUGUAGAAUGUGCAUAGAAUUUAUACAGUCAAUAUUUGAAUUUAUAUUGUUUAACAUUUGUUUCUUAAUAUUGAAACAUAUAUAAAUCAAUUUACUUGACCAUAAGCAUAUACUUUCAACAAAUCAACGCUUGUUAUUAUCCAAACGUUUUCGUUGAUGUAUUAACUACUUUAUUCUUACAAAUAUGAAAAAAAAAUAAGUUUACGAUUUUAAGUGGAAUCUUUAACGAAACAAGUGAAUAUAACAGUAAAAGAAAAUUAAGUAUUUAAUUGCGUAUAGUUAACAUAAGUAUGACGAAAAUCCGUUACAAUAAUACGAGCGUUUACCAAUUAAAGGGAUGCAACUCAUAUAUAUUUAUACACUAAUGAUAUUGAUAUAGUUAAGCCAUUAUUUUCAUAAAACUAUAAGAAUUAACACGAACGAUAUGUCUUUCAUGAUCUACAGUAUUUCAAAGAUAUUACUACAUCUAUGGUUAAUUAAAUCAAUUUAACACCAUUUGAAUCAUAUCUUAAAUAUAAGAUCGUUCUUAGAGCAUUAUUAAUGCAUGUGUUUGUUAAACGUGUAAUGUGUAGAUAAUGUAAUGUGUUUUUACUCAUGUGCAUGUUCAGCAUAUACAAAAGUUGUUACACAAAUCAUGUAUAUAGUAUUUUUACGAGGGAGUAUUCCUUUAGUGAGAUAACCAGUUUCUAUCCAUUCACUACAGAUACAUAAAGUGAAACAAAAUUUAACGUUCAACGUGCAGUUAGUGUUUGGAAACUAUUCAAGCAUCAGUGACAAUGUUGCGAUGAAAACAUUUGAACCAUGUAAAAUAAUAUUAGUCCAAAUGUCAUUGUAUUCAUUUAAUGCUCAAUAUUUGUUUUGCAUGUUUUUGUAUGUAAUUUUGAAACAUGGUUUAACGAUUGAGUGUUUGAUCAUCUUUUGAACUCUUUGUCUUUAUGAACAUGUAUGUAUGUCAACAUCAGCAGCAUUAUGUUACUCUAUUAAGUCGUCCCGAACAUCUCAUGGGCAAUCACUUAAACCUUUGAUUGAAUAAUAUAAGACACCAAGACCAAUAUUUCGAUAAUUUAUUAGGUCAUCAACUGCGGAAGAUUAUUAUAUAAAAUACGCUGAAUAUGUAUUUUUUGGGGAUGACAUUGAGCCUCUUUUAUGCCUUAAACACGGGUAAGUGUUCGAGUUGGGCUCUUAUAUUCCAGCACUUGUAGUGUGUUAUGUUAAUGGUUUAAUGUUUUCAAAAUGUAAUUUUGUAUAACCAGAAUACAUAAAUAAAUGUUACGUUUGUCAUAUUAAGUAAGAAUGAAGUAUACGAAGAUUUAAAAAAAAUGUUACAGCUGUAUCAUCAUAUCAGUUUUAAUUCUGGGCUUAGUGUGAGGUUUGGGAUCCCUUUAUCGAGUUAAAAAACAACUUUAAUUAUGUUUUAAUGACACCUUAAAUCAAGACCAUUCCUUUUUUGCUAAUCAAUGUUAUGUUUCACGAUCAUUAUGCUUCCUUCUGGGAAACUGUAUAUGUUGUGUCUGUCAAUUAGUUAGUACGUCUUCACAAUAUCCGUUCAAUAUCUAAUGAACUAUUGUGUUUUGUUUUUGGGUUUCAAAGUGUUUAUUCUAUCAUAUGACAGUGGGGGCAGUUACAUAAAAAACAAUCAUUAUUCCAUUUAAGUAUUGUGAGUACGCUUUAUAACUAUACAUUUAGUACGCAUUA